GGGCCUCGCGGCCCCGACUGAUUUGUAAUCAGUAGGUUGGGGGUUCAAUCCCCUUCGCCAGCUCCA
rnacentral:tRNA from 1 species